GGAGUAAGUGUCUUUUAAUUUCAUGGCUGCAGUCACCAUCUGCAGUGAUUUUGGAGCCCAAAAAAAUAAAGUCUGACACUGUUUCCACUGUUUCCCCAUCUAUUUCCCAUGAAGUGAUGGGACCGGAUGCCAUGAUCUUCGUUUUCUGAAUGUUGAGCUUUAAGCCAACUUUUUCACUCUCCACUUUCACUUUCAUCAAGAGGCUUUUUAGUUUCUCUUCACUUUCUGCUGUAAGGGUGGUGUUAUCUGCAUAUCUGAGGUUAUUGAUAUUUCUCCGGGCAAUCUUGAUUCCAGCUUGUGUUUCUUCCAGUCCAGCGUUUCUCAUGAUGUACUCUGCAUAUAAGUUAAAUAAACAGGGUGACAAUAUACAGCCUUGACAUACUCCUUUUCCUAUUUGGAACCAGUCUGUUGUUCCAUGUCCAGUUCUAACUGUUGCUUCCUGACCUGCAUAUAGGUUUCUCAAAGGCAGGUCAGAUGGUCUGGUAUUCCCAUCUCUUUCAGAAUUUUCCACAGUUUAUUGUGAUCCACACAGUCAAAGGCUUUGGCAUAGUCAAUAAAGCAGAAAUAGAUGUUUUUUUGGAACUCUCGCUUUUUCCAUGAUCCAGCGGAUGUUGGAAAUUUGAUCUCUGGUUCCUUUGCCUUUUCUAAACCAGCUUGAAUAUCAGGAAGUUCACGGUUCACAUAUUGCUGAAGCCUGGCUUGGAGAAUUUUGAGCAUUACUUUACUAGCAUGUGAGAUGAGUGCAACUGUGUGGUAGUUUGAGCAUUCUUUGGCAUUGCCUUUCUUUGGGAUUGAAAUGAAAACUGACCUUUUCCAGUCCUGUGGCCACUGCUGAGUUUUCCAAAUUUGCUGGCAUAUUGAGUGCAGCACUUUCACAGCAUCAUCUUUCAGGAUUUGGAAUAGCUCAACUGGAAUUCCAUCACCUCCACUAGCUUUGUUUGUAGUGAUGCUUUCCAACGCCCACUUGACUUCACAUUCCAGGAUGUCUGGCUCUAGGUCAGUGAUCACACCAUCGUGAUUAUCUGGGUCGUGAAGAUCUUUUUUAAUACAGUUCUGUGUAUUCUUGCCACCUCUUCUUAAUAUCUUCUGCUUCUGUUAGGUCCAUAC
ensembl:lncRNA